UGGCACCCUCACUGACUCACAGCGUUAAUUAUUGAUGCUUCUGUAUUUGGGAAAGGAAGCUCGUCUCUCAUACCUUGCUGCACAAUGUCCUGCCUGACUGGAUUGCAAAAGAGUCACAAAACUGAGUAAGAUUUGAAUGGCUUUACCGGAGUAAUUGCUGUCAUUUCACUUCGAGAGGUUUGAGAUGGAUGAGCAGGUAGACCAGACUCUGAACCUCUGAGAAUUAACCUGAUGUCUUAUGGACUGGAUUUUUUGCUUCUUUUUCCACAGUCACAGACUACUGGUGGAACCGUUCAGUGCAGACCAAGGCUUAAAGUGGACUCUAGUGUUAUACCUGACUCUGUUUCACCAAUGAAAGUACCUGAAAGCCAUAACCAGGAUUUAUAUGUAAUGUAAAGACAAACAGUGAAGACGUGCUGUAGCAAGAACUACUGGCGGUGGGUUUGUGACCAGUUUCAACAUCUACCAAGCAAA